rnacentral:rRNA from 1 species
GAUGAACGCUGGCGGCGUGCCUAAUACAUGCAAGUCGAACGCUGAAGCUUGGUGCUUGCACCGAGCGGAUGAGUUGCGAACGGGUGAGUAACGCGUAGGUAACCUGCCUGGUAGCGGGGGAUAACUAUUGGAAACGAUAGCUAAUACCGCAUAACAGUAGAUAUUGCAUGAUAUCUGCUUGAAAGGUGCAAAUGCAUCACUACCAGAUGGACCUGCGUUGUAUUAGCUAGUUGGUGAGGUAACGGCUCACCAAGGCGACGAUACAUAGCCGACCUGAGAGGGUGAUCGGCCACACUGGGACUGAGACACGGCCCAGACUCCUACGGGAGGCAGCAGUAGGGAAUCUUCGGCAAUGGGGGGAACCCUGACCGAGCAACGCCGCGUGAGUGAAGAAGGUUUUCGGAUCGUAAAGCUCUGUUGUAAGAGAAGAACGAGUGUGAGAGUGGAAAGUUCACACUGUGACGGUAUCUUACCAGAAAGAGACGGCUAACUACGUG